rnacentral:rRNA from 1 species
GCUUAACACAUGCAAGUCGAGCGAGAAUCGUUUUGCUGAAGGCUUCGGUCUGACGCAGAAUGAGGAAAGCGGCGAACGGGUGAGUAACGCGUGGGCAACCUGGCCUUAAGAAGAGGAUAGCCCCCGGAUACGGGGAGUAAGACUUUAUGAGAAUGAAAGAGGGCAUCCUACUUUCAUUCAACGCGCAAGCGCUUAAGGAUGGGCCCGCGUAUCAUUAGCUAGUUGGUAAGAUAACAGCCGACCAAGGCAACGAUGAUUAGCCGGUCUGAGAGGGCGAACGGCCACAUUGGAACUGGGAGACGGUCCAAACUCCUACGGGAGGCAGCAGUGGGGAAUAUUGCGCAAUGGAGAAGAACUCUGACGCAGCAAUACCGCGGGAGCGAAGAAGGUCUUCGGAUCGUAAAGCUCUGUUAUCAGGGAAGAAGAAAAUGACGGUACCUGAUGAGCAAGUCCCGGCUAACUACGUGCCAGCCGCCGCCGUAA